GGAUGAGUCACGCUAAAGUCAUAUGAACAAACCGAUCGCACGGYCUACCGNNGUGACUGAAUAAUACGCCGUCGCACGUAUCUUNNUGGGACGUUCUUUCAAGUUCUGCCUUAUCAACUUUCGAUGGUAGUUUAUGUGCCUACCAUGGUUGUAACGGGUAACGGAGAAUAAGGGUUCGACUCCGGAGAGGGAGCCUGAGAAACGGCUACCACAUCCAAGGAAGGCAGCAGGCGCGCAAAUUACCCACUCUCGGCACGAGGAGGUAGNGACGAAAAAUAACGAGACGGAUCUCUUUGAGGCCCGUUAUCGGAAUGAGAACAAUUCAAAUCCUUUAACGAGGAUCUAGCGGAGGGCAAGUCUGGUGCCAGCAGCCGCGGUAAUUCCMGUCCGCAGGUGUAUAUCUAUGCUGCUGCGGUUAAAAAGNUCUGUAGUUGGAUCUGCGUGCUCGGAACCGGUUGGCUCACUGAGUUUAAACUGGUCUCCGGCGCUUUAUCGGCUGGUUUUCCCUUGAUGCUCUUAACCGGGUGUCUUGGGUGSUAGCACGUUUACUUUGAAAAAWUAGAGUGCUCAANACNNNCAAAGCCNNGAAUAGUGGUGCAUGGAAUAAUAGAAUAGGACCUCGGUUCUAUUUUGCGUGNUUAGANNAGGGCUUUGGUUUUCGGAACACGACGANCGUNNNAAUGANUNNNNUUAAGAGGGACAGACGGGGG
rnacentral:rRNA from 1 species